rnacentral:ncRNA from 1 species
UCCAUUGUGAGGUGGAAUCUGAAAGAAGUUGGAGGCAAAGCUGCGGUUUGAGGAACAGGAACUAAAAGGCAUAAGUUACCAGUAGAAAAUGGGAGCAAAGAGGAAGUGCUGCCUAAAUUAAGUACAUUACUUAAAUUAGCUAAAGCUUUAGAU